UACGAAGGGGGCUAGCGUUGCUCGGAAUCACUGGGCGUAAAGGGCGCGUAGGCGGCUUGCCAAGUCAGGGGUGAAAUCUUUCGGCUCAACCGGAAAAGUGCCUUUGAUACUGGCGAGCUAGAGGGAGGUAGGGGUGCGUGGAACUUCUGGUGGAGCGGUGAAAUGCGUAGAUAUCAGAAGGAACGCCGGUGGCGAAAGCGACGCACUGGAUCUCUACUGACGCUGAGGCGCGAAAGCUAGGGGAGCGAACGGG
rnacentral:rRNA from 1 species